AUUGAACGCUGGCGGCAGGCCUAACACAUGCAAGUCGAGCGCGCGGCGGACGGGUGAGAAAGGUCUGGGAAACUGACUGAUGGAGGGGGAUAUCUACUGGAAACGGUAGCUAAUAUCGCAUAUCAUCAGAUGUGCUCAGAUGGGAUUGUCUAGUAGGUGGGGUAACGGCUCACCUCGGCGACGAUCCCUAGCUGGUCUGUGAGGAUGACCAGCCACACUGGAACGGAGAAACUGUCCAGACUCCUACGGUAGGCAGCAGUGGGGAAUAUUGCACAAUGGGCGCAAGCCUGAUGCAGCCAUGCCGCGUGGAGGAAGAAGGCCUUCGGGUUGUAAAGCACUUUCAGCGAGGAGGCGUUACCCGCAGAAGAAGCACCGGCUAACUCCGGGCCAGCAGCCGCGGUAAUUC
rnacentral:rRNA from 1 species